rnacentral:rRNA from 1 species
CCUACGGGAGGCAGCAGUGAGGAAUAUUGGACAAUGGACGAAAGUCUGAUCCAGCUAUGCCGCGUGCAGGAUGACGGCCCUAUGGGUUGUAAACUGCUUUUAUACAGGAAGAAAAACUCCGACGUGUCGGAACUUGACGGUACUGUAAGAAUAAGGAUCGGCUAACUCCGUGCCAGCAGCCGCGGUAAUACGGAGGAUCCAAGCGUUAUCCGGAAUCAUUGGGUUUAAAGGGUCCGUAGGCGGUUUUUUAAGUCAGAGGUGAAAUCCUGCAGCUCAACUGUAGAAUUGCCUUUGAUACUGAAAGACUUGAGUUAUUGUGAAGUGGUUAGAAUGUGUGGUGUAGCGGUGAAAUGCAUAGAUAUCACACAGAAUACCAAUUGCGAAGGCAGAUCACUAACAAUAUACUGACGCUCAGGGACGAAAGCGUGGGUAGCGAACAGGAUUAGAUACCCUGGUAGUCCACGCCGUAAACGAUGGAUACUAGCUGUAUGUCUACUUCAGGUAGAUGUGUGGCUAAGCGAAAGUGAUAAGUAUCCCACCUGGGGAGUACGAUCGCAAGAUUGAAACUCAAAGGAAUUGACGG